rnacentral:rRNA from 1 species
GUGGGGAAUAUUGGACAAUGGGCGAAAGCCUGAUCCAGCCAUGCCGCGUGUGUGAAGAAGGUCUUCGGAUUGUAAAGCACUUUAAGUUGGGAGGAAGGGCAGUAAGUUAAUACCUUGCUGUUUUGACGUUACCGACAGAAUAAGCACCGGCUAACUUCGUGCCAGCAGCCGCGGUAAUACGAAGGGUGCAAGCGUUAAUCGGAAUUACUGGGCGUAAAGCGCGCGUAGGUGGUUUUGUAAGUUGGAGGUGAAAUCCCCGGGCUCAACCUGGGAACUGCCUCCAAAACUGCAUGACUAGAGUACGGUAGAGGGUAGUGGAAUUUCCUGUGUAGCGGUGAAAUGCGUAGAUAUAGGAAGGAAAACCAGUGGCGAAGGCGACUACCUGGACUGAUACUGACACUGAGGUGCGAAAGCGUGGGGAGCAAACAGGAUUAGAAACCCUUGUAGUCC